rnacentral:rRNA from 1 species
UACGGAGGGAGCUAGCGUUGUCCGGAAUUAUUGGGCGUAAAGAGCUCGUAGGCGGUGUGUCACGUCGGCCGUGAAAACCUGCAGCUUAACUGUGGGCGUGCGGUCGAUACGGGCAUCACUGGAGUUCGGCAGGGGAGACUGGAAUUCCUGGUGUAGCGGUGGAAUGCGCAGAUAUCAGGAGGAACACCGGUGGCGAAGGCGGGUCUCUGGGCCGUUACUGACGCUGAGGAGCGAAAGCGUGGGGAGCGAACAGG